rnacentral:rRNA from 1 species
UACCAGCACCCCGAGUGGUCGGGACGAUUAUUGGGCCUAAAGCAUCCGUAGCCGGUCAUGCAAGUCCUCCGUUAAAUCCACCUGCUUAACAGAUGGGCUGCGGAGGAUACUACAAGGCUAGGAGGCGGAAGAGGCAAGCGGUACUCGGUGGGUAGGGGUAAAAUCCUCUGAUCCAUUGAAGACCACCAGUGGCGAAGGCGGCUUGCCAAUACGCGCUCGACGGUGAGGGAUGAAAGCUGGGGGAGCAAACCGG